UACAGGGGAGGCAAGCGUUGUCCGGAUUUACUGGGCGUAAAGCGCGCGCAGGCGGCAUGGCAAGUAAGGUGUGAAAUCUCCCUGCCUAACGGGGAGGGUGCACUUUAGACUGCCAAGCUAGAGGACGGUAGAGGGGGGUAGAAUUGCUGGUGUAGCGGUGAAAUGCGCAGAUAUCAGGAAGAACACCCGUGGCGAAAGCGGCUCUCUGGAACGGUACUGACGCUGAGACGCGAAAGCGUGGGGAGCGAACAGG
rnacentral:rRNA from 1 species